rnacentral:snRNA from 1 species
GUGCUGGUUUUAGCAGCACAUAUACUAAAAUCGGAACAAUACAGAGAAAAUUAGCAUGGCCCCUGCCCAAGGAUGCACACAAAUUCCUGAAGCGCUCCACAUCUUA